rnacentral:rRNA from 1 species
UACGGAGGGUGCAAGCGUUGCUCGGAAUUAUUGGGCGUAAAGAGCUCGUAGGCGGUUCGUCGCGUCGGCUGUGAAAACCUGAGGCUCAACCUCAGGCCUGCAGUCGAUACGGGCGGACUUGAGUUCGGCAGGGGAGACUGGAAUUCCUGGUGUAGCGGUGAAAUGCGCAGAUAUCAGGAGGAACACCGGUGGCGAAGGCGGGUCUCUGGGCCGUAACUGACGCUGAGGAGCGAAAGCAUGGGGAGCGAACAGG